CCCCUCGGCUAGAGAAGUGCCGACAUGGGUUGCCAUAGAUCUUUGGCUCUUUGAUUAUUUAGAUCAAAGAAGGGCUAGAGCACCGGGCUCUGAUACCACUUGUUGCCCAGCUAUGCAACCCAAGAGGGGAGGGUGAAUUGGGUUUCUAAAAAUUUUAAGCUUAACUUAUGACUUAUGAAAAAUGUUCGUCAACAGUUAAAUGAAUGAGGAGAAUAAACUUAAUUCAAGAUUAAUUGCCAAAAGCAAGAAUGCAAGGAAAUAAUGAAGAGUUAA
rnacentral:lncRNA from 1 species